AGAGUUUGAUCCUGGCUCAGGACGAACGCUGGCGGCGCGCCUAACACAUGCAAGUCGAACGAGCGAGAGAGAGCUUGCUUUCUCGAGCGAGUGGCGAACGGGUGAGUAACGCGUGAGGAACCUGCCUCAAAGAGGGGGACAACAGUUGGAAACGACUGCUAAUACCGCAUAAGCCCACGGGUCGGCAUCGACCAGAGGGAAAAGGAGCAAUCCGCUUUGAGAUGGCCUCGCGUCCGAUUAGCUAGUUGGUGAGGUAACGGCCCACCAAGGCAACGAUCGGUAGCCGGACUGAGAGGUUGAACGGCCACAUUGGGACUGAGACACGGCCCAGACUCCUACGGGAGGCAGCAGUGGGGAAUAUUGCACAAUGGGGGAAACCCUGAUGCAGCGACGCCGCGUGGAGGAAGAAGGUCUUCGGAUUGUAAACUCCUGUUGUUGGGGAAGAUAAUGACGGUACCCAACAAGGAAGUGACGGCUAACUACGUGCCAGCAGCCGCGGUAAAACGUAGGUCACAAGCGUUGUCCGGAAUUACUGGGUGUAAAGGGAGCGCAGGCGGGAAGACAAGUUGGAAGUGAAAUCUAUGGGCUCAACCCAUAAACUGCUUUCAAAACUGUUUUUCUUGAGUAGUGCAGAGGUAGGCGGAAUUCCCGGUGUAGCGGUGGAAUGCGUAGAUAUCGGGAGGAACACCAGUGGCGAAGGCGGCCUACUGGGCACCAACUGACGCUGAGGCUCGAAAGUGUGGGUAGCAAACAGGAUUAGAUACCCUGGUAGUCCACACCGUAAACGAUGAUUACUAGGUGUUGGAGGAUUGACCCCUUCAGUGCCGCAGUUAACACAAUAAGUAAUCCACCUGGGGAGUACGACCGCAAGGUUGAAACUCAAAGGAAUUGACGGGGGCCCGCACAAGCAGUGGAGUAUGUGGUUUAAUUCGACGCAACGCGAAGAACCUUACCAAGUCUUGACAUCCCUUGACAGGCAUAGAAAUAUGUUUUCUCUUCGGAGCAAGGAGACAGGUGGUGCAUGGUUGUCGUCAGCUCGUGUCGUGAGAUGUUGGGUUAAGUCCCGCAACGAGCGCAACCCUUAUGGUCAGUUACUACGCAAGAGGACUCUGGCCAGACUGCCGUUGACAAAACGGAGGAAGGUGGGGAUGACGUCAAAUCAUCAUGCCCUUUAUGACUUAGGCUACACACGUACUACAAUGGCGUUAAACAAAGAGAAGCAAGACCGCGAGGUGGAGCAAAACUCAGAAACAACGUCCCAGUUCGGACUGCAGGCUGCAACUCGCCUGCACGAAGUCGGAAUUGCUAGUAAUCGUGGAUCAGCAUGCCACGGUGAAUACGUUCC
rnacentral:rRNA from 1 species